UCCUCAGAGUCUGUGGCAAAGCGUCCCAAACAUUCUCCGAGACCGCAGGCUGGACAGAUUAGCUUAGCCCGCUAAGUCGGAGAAAGGGGAAGCAAAUGGUGAGGUAACGAUGAUGCGAAAUGAAUCGUUGCUGCGUUCCAGUCGGAGGCGAGUAGGCAACCGUGCCCCGCCACCCCACCCUUCCACAAACACACCCCUGUUGGGAUAUUGGCAAGUUGUCAUGACGACAGGGAUGUUCUGCUGAUGAAGUCUCGCUCAGCGCCGUCCAAUCAGAUCGUGGAGCUACAACCGCAGCGUGAACAGGGGAGGACGCACCUUUUCCAGUUGCACAAUGCUGAGAAAGGACAGGCGAAACCCUGGACCACCAACGGGAAAUUGGCAAUCCUGAGGAGGCUGUCAAUGGGCCGCCAUGGUUCGACAAUACACAAACAGCGGGGGUCGUGGAUACAGGGGCUGCCAGGGUACGGAGAGAGGCUUUCGGCGGCCAGCCAUGGGAAAGAGCUGUCAACAGGGUGGCUCAGCUGGCAGCGCCCAGGUUUCCCAUGAGGCCAAGAGCUGCCUAAAGUGGAGAUUCAAGGAUGCUGAAGGAUGAAAAGGAGGAGCUGGAGAAGUGACCUGGGCUGGCUGAAUGGACUCCAGUCAACAAGAUGAAUAGUUGGCCCGGGAUCAAAGGCAGACCCCAACCGGCCACUCUGACCACCACAAAGGGGCGUUGGGCGCUGGCGCGGGGCCAGGUGCUACACAUGGCCACAUAGCCAGGGACAAGCCGUGCAGAUGGGGCCUGCAGAGCCCUCGCCGCCUCCGCCCCCACUGCUGUACGCGAGAGAAGACGGAUCUGAGAGAGAGCGACUGCCCGUGCAACGGGAACAGGACCGGCCGAGGUCUACCAAUAAUGGAAUUGGAGCGGAAGAAGAAUUUUCCAGGAAGUCCAUUAUCUCAGCGGCAAGGACAAAGAAAUGGAAUUAAAACACCUGAAACAAGGCGCCGGUGACGGCUCUGAUGCCUCCCGUUUGAUUGGCUCUUUCAUGUUCUCCUCCCGCCCUCGGUGUGAGCGGCGGCGCCGGGGUGGAGGUGAAGCGGUGGCGAGCGGACCACCGCGCGGUGCAGGGAGAUUGAGAUGUGAUGCGCUCCUGCCGAGGUGAUGGACGGAGGCACUGGAAGGAUGUUGGAUUUCAGGCGCUUCGGGCUUUCUCCUACGUAGCGGUGAGCUGUGGAAGGCUCCAGUAGUACAACUAUGUCAAGUGCAAUCAGCAUCUAGUCAGGAGUGAUAAUGCUUGUGCUAGAAACAACUUAGCCCGCUGUGCGUAAUAUUAGUAGUACUUACUAGUUUUCCUGUUCUUUUAGAUAUCAGGUUUCUGCUGAAAGCCUGUAAUAAUGAGAUGACCUUUCGCAGGCUGUUGUUAUGCACAUAAACACAUUCAGUACGUUUACACGCACAUGAAAAAAACUAAUUAUUGUCUUAAUCUGACUUU